GACGAACGCUGGCGGCGUGCCUAAUACAUGCAAGUCGAGCGAAGUUUUUCUGGUGCUUGCACUAGAAAAACUUAGCGGCGAACGGGUGAGUAACACGUAAAGAACCUGCCUCAUAGACUGGGACAACUAUUGGAAACGAUAGCUAAUACCGGAUAACAGUAUUUCUCGCAUGAGAGAUAUUUAAAAGUUGGUUAUGCUAACACUAUGAGAUGGCUUUGCGGUGCAUUAGCUGGUUGGUGGGGUAAAGGCCCACCAAGGCGACGAUGCAUAGCCGACCUGAGAGGGUGAUCGGCCACACUGGGACUGAGACACGGCCCAGACUCCUACGGGAGGCAGCAGUAGGGAAUCUUCCGCAAUGGGCGAAAGCCUGACGGAGCAACGCCGCGUGAGUGAAGAAGGAUUUCGGUUCGUAAAGCUCUGUUGUUAGGGAAGAAUGGAUAUGUAGUAACUAUACAUGUAAGAGACGGUACCUAACCAGAAAGCCACGGCUAACUACGUG
rnacentral:rRNA from 1 species